CCUACGGGCGGCAGCAGUGGGGAAUAUUGGGCAAUGGGCGCAAGCCUGACCCAGCAACGCCGCGUGAAGGAAGAAGGCUCUCGGGUUGGAAACUUCUUUUAUCAGGGACGAAGCAAGUGACGGUACCUGAUGAAUAAGCAACGGCUAACUACGGGACAGCAGCCGCGGUAAUACGUAGGUGGGAAGGGGUAUCCGGAUUUACUGGGUGAAAAGGGCGUGUAGGGGGGAAAGCAAGUCAGAUGUGAAAACCAUGGGCUCAACCUGUGGCCUGCCUUUGAAACUGUUGUUCUUGAGUACUGGAGAGGCAGACGGAAUUCCUAGUGUAGCGGUGAAAUGCGUAGAUAUUAGGCGGAACCCCAGUGGCGAAGGCGGUCUGCUGGACAGCAACUGACGCUGAGGCGCGAAAGCGUGGGGAGCAAACAGGAUUAGAUACCCUAGUAGUC
rnacentral:rRNA from 1 species